GAGUAGCCUCGUUGCUACGAUCUGCUGAGGCUAAGCCUGGGUUCUAUAGAUUUGUUUGACAACAGUCAAACCACUUCUCUCUGUCCACUGGGCAAUGGAGGUGUGUACCAUGGGCACCCACCCCGCACACACACAAAGUCCCUACGCAGACCCCCGCCUCGCCCUCUUGGGAACGCGGCGCCUGGCCUGCCGCAGACUGCCUAGGCCGCCUCUAGGGUUCUAGUGUUGUGUAGUGUCCUGGUGUCCUAGUGCCCUAGUAUCCUAGUGUGCCCUAGUGCGUGCGUAUCCUAGUGCCCUAGUGCCUAGUAUCCUAGUGCCCUAGUGUCCUACACUCUGCACUCUCUACGCACGCCUAUUCCCUUCCCUAUUCCCCCUUCCCUCUCUCUCAACUCACCCCCUCCCCUUGUCCCCCCCACUCGCUCCUCCCACACUCUCCCCCGC
rnacentral:misc_RNA from 1 species